rnacentral:lncRNA from 1 species
AGGAAAAAGGCCCCUUGCAAACACAGGGAGGAUAGAUUUUGGGGAGCCCCACUGACUCCGGGUGGUGGAGACUGCAGAAUGGCACCUCACAUCCCAGAGGCUGCAGCUUUGGGGUCACCUGGGCUUCACCAGUGUCCACAGUACAACCAUGGCCACUGGCACUGCCAGGAAGGGAUGCCUGUGGAGAAGCCACCCAGCCUUAGGGGGGCAGCUCAAGCUCCUUGGCCUCUGCCUUUUGCACAGAGUAGCUGCGUACCAGCAGUCCGCUGGCUUCUGCAGAGUCCCCGAUAAUCUACAUUAAUAGGACUGAAAGGAAAAGCAAGCCCUUGGGUUGUUACAUGGCUCCCUAAGCUCGGCAGCGGAAGCCAAAACUGUUUUGAUUCUGCUUGUCCAUUUCAGCCUGAACACAGCAGAAGCCCAACUGCUCAGCUGAGCAGAGAUGCUCUUCACUGCGUUUCCACCAGGCGUACCACGGGACAUCUCUGGCUCUUCAUUAUGGAGAUCCUCAACUCCAACCAGGCAGCGGCUUUGCUGGAAGCACCCAGCUGAAGAGUGAGCUCCCUCUCCGUUCAGGUUUCACCUCGGCUCUGCUUCACCCCUACCCUGAAGAGACACUGCAGUGCCCGCCCCUGUGUUGUCGAGUUUCCAACGUGGGUCGAGACGGCCAACAUCUCCCGGAGACAUGGCUGGCCCUGGUGGUGCUUAUCCCUGUGCCAGGAUGGCAGUAAAUGGAGCAAGAGAAAUAACAGCGUGAAGAACAGCUGUGGACAGGUUCCACAGCAAGUCUUAUUUUCAGUUCCUCUUUCACGGCAUAACUCUAGCCACCUACAUUGGGUUUUAUUGUUUAUUAUGAAUUCAACAGCAGCAGACAAAGGCUUUGGUGGAGUUUGGAGCUGCGCUGGGCCAAGCGCCCUGGGAAUGCGCAGUAGGACACAGCCCAUGAAGAAGACACGGCUGGCCAGCAAACAUGCCCCUGCAUGAACGGCAAGAAGUUAGUUGAUGUCUUCGUCCAUUUUGAGAUAUAUGUGAAAGUAACGGGUGCCGGUGUUAGCAGUGAAACCUAUUUUAUUUUAUUAAUUUUUAAAUUAUUUUUUUUUUUCUUGUUACUGCACUUCUGGUGAGGCCACGUCUGGAGUGCUGUUGUUACCACAAACUGGCAGAUAAAACUUUCUAAGACUCGAUUUAAAGUUUCAGAAAGCAGGCAUUCUUUAUUGCGGUGCUGGGUGCACAGGAGAUAGCUCCUCAUAUUGUGCACCCCAAAUGCUGUUGUCAAAUUAAAUUUAUACACAACAGGUAUACAUAUUCAAUGUAAUUUCACAAAAACAUUAGCAUAUUCAUUGCCUUUCUGUGAAUUCAUUUACAUAUUAUAAUAAGCUUUUGGGCAUGUGUAGUCAUGCCUUCUGGUGGUCCUUAUUUUGAGUGAGGGUCGUUUCUUGCUCAAUCUUCGUCUUCUUCACCUGUCCUUUGGCUCACUUUUCAUGUUGGCAAAACAUUCUAACUGCUUAAUUGCUCAUUAAAACUAAUGAUCUCCCUGCUACCACCUGUUUUGUCAGACAAUGUCCAUAUUUAUUGCAUCCCUGUCUUAGGUCACCAUGUUCUCAGGGCCACGUACAUCCUUUCAUAUCUUACUAAAUC